AUUGAACGCUGGCGGCAGGCCUAACACAUGCAAGUCGAACGGUAACAGGAAGCAGCUUGCUGCUUCGCUGACGAGUGGCGGACGGGUGAGCAAUGUCUGGGAAACUGCCUGAUGGAGGGGGAUAACUACUGGAAACGGUAGCUAAUACCGCAUAACGUCGCAAGACCAAAGAGGGGGACCUUAGGGCCUCUUGCCAUCGGAUGUGCCCAGAUGGGAUUAGCUAGUAGGUGGGGUAACGGCUCACCUAGGCGACGGUCCCUAGCUGGUCUGAGAGGAUGACCAGCCACACUGGAACUGAGACACGGUCCAGACUCCUACGGGAGGCAGCAGUGGCGAAUAUUGCACAAUGGGCGCAAGCCUGAUGCAGCCAGGCCGCGUGUAUGAAGAAGGCCUUCGGGUUGUAAAGUACUUUCAGCGGGGAGGAAGGGAGUAAAGUUAAUACCUUUGCUCAUUGACGUUACCCGCAGAAGAAGCACCGGCUAACUCCGUG
rnacentral:rRNA from 1 species